CCACCGCACAAACUAACAAAGAGGUUAUGUUUGCAUCUAUUUUUCAAUGAUUUUUCAUUGUUUAUCGUCGUAUUUUGGAUUCAUUUGGAUUUCGUUUCCUGUUUUUGUGAACUUUAUAAACUUUACCACAAUGCAAACUGAUUAUUUAAGGAAAUUAUUAUUGGAAACUCCAGAUGUUGCGAGAAAGGUAGGCGAAACAAUUUUUUUUACUGUUCAUUUUGCCCCGAUAUUUAUCAAUAAUGAUGAAUUUUGCAAGCAAUAACAUUAUUUCUUUUAUUGUUCUAGAUAUUUAUUGAAGCUGAAAAUAAUUGGGGAUUUAGAUCCAUACGCAAUUCAGUCAGAAUUGGAUUUUACAGUAAAGUGCAGUCCAUCAAGUUACUAUUAUAGAUAUUUAUACAUAUCUGGUGGAAUCUGAUAUGUCACAGUUGCUACUCUAAGCAGCAGAUGAAAGCAUACAAAAGCCUUCAGGCACAUAAAUAUUUUACAGCUGGAUUUGUUUUGAAUGGAGUAAAAAUUGUUAAUGAUUUCCUGAUUUCCAUAUUAUUGUCGGAAAGGUGAAGCAUUUCCAAAAAACCUUGCUAAACGACUAAAUGCUUGGGUGGGGUGAUAGCCAGUUCUGAUGACAUAGCAAAUUUACAUUGUAUGCGUAUGGCCGGUAAUAGUGAAGUCUGCAGCCAUAUUGCAGCAAUCCUAUUUUUAGCUUAGUAUGCUCAGGGCAAGACAGACGAAGAAGAACCCAAUGUAUGUACAUAUGUUACAGCUACAUGGUUUGGAGAUAGCAACAUAUGCAUUCUCUGAUGAAAAACUAAUGAGUUUUGAAACUGUUCAGUCAGAGUGCUUGUUGCGCUCACUAAACGAAUUGAAAUAUAAGAUGGCUUUGGCAUUGUGUUGCAGCGAUAUGAAAAUGGUUAUUCAUUUUUAAUUAUAAUGUUCUUCUUCAUCAUGAGUAAUUAUGUAUUGGUCUUUUAAAUGUGUAUUUAUUUUUGUAAUUAGUAUCAACUUGUAAUGAUAAUAUACAUUUAUCGUUUAAGGUAUGACUAUGUUUUGACUCUAAAAUAAAUGUUUUAAAAAUCGAA
rnacentral:lncRNA from 1 species